rnacentral:rRNA from 1 species
GACGAACGCUGGCGGCGUGCUUAACACAUGCAAGUCGAACGGAAAGGCCCUGCUUUUGUGGGGUGCUCGAGUGGCGAACGGGUGAGUAACACGUGAGUAACCUGCCCUUGACUUUGGGAUAACUUCAGGAAACUGGGGCUAAUACCGGAUAGGAGCUCCUGCUGCAUGGUGGGGGUUGGAAAGUUUCGGCGGUUGGGGAUGGACUCGCGGCUUAUCAGCUUGUUGGUGGGGUAGUGGCUUACCAAGGCUUUGACGGGUAGCCGGCCUGAGAGGGUGACCGGGCACAAUGGGACUGAGGUACGGCGCAGAGUCCUACGGGAGGCAGAGGUGGGGAAUAUUGCACAAUGGGGGGGAGCGUGAUGCGGCAACGCCGCGUGCGGGAUGACGGCCUUCGGGUUGUAAACCGCUUUCGCCUGUGACGUAGCGGGAGUGACGGUAAUGGGUAAAGAAGCACCGGCUAACUACGUG